rnacentral:rRNA from 1 species
UACGUAGGGACCAAGCGUUGUUCGGAUUUACUGGGCGUAAAGCGCACGUAGGCGGAUCUUUAAGUCAGAGGUGAAAUCCCAAGGCUCAACCUUGGAACUGCCUUUGAUACUGGGGAUCUUGAGUCCGGGAGAGGUGAGUGGAACUGCGAGUGUAGAGGUGAAAUUCGUAGAUAUUCGCAAGAACACCAGUGGCGAAGGCGGCUCACUGGCCCGGUACUGACGCUGAGGUGCGAAAGCGUGGGGAGCAAACAGG